rnacentral:misc_RNA from 1 species
GCAAGCUAAAGGUUUGAAUAGAUUGUCUCUUGAAGGUACCGUAAUUGGUAUAGCUCCUAACCAGGGAAAUGGCUGCUCAGCAUAUGUUCAGUUUGAUGGCGGGGAAGUGUUUGAGUAUGCGUUGAAGUUGGCUGAUGCCAGAGGGCUUCAUCAGAAACGUGAGGAUAUGAGUUUUUCUUCAUCUUGCCCCUGGAUGGAUCUUGUGCAAAUUGGAGGCUGCUUACCUCAAAAGGCUUUGCUUUUUGGUCUUGAUGACAGUGGUAGAUUGCUUGUUGGUGAAAGGACAUUGUGCAACAAUUGCAGCAGUUUUUCUUUCUACUCGAAUUCUGCUGACCACUCUGUCACCCAUUUGAUUCUUUCAACUAAGCAGGAUUUGCUGUUUAUUGUCGAUAUUAGUGAUAUCCUGAAAGGAGAACUGGAGGUUAAGUAUGGGAACUUCCUGGCAGUUUUCAAGCACAGAAAAGGA